GGAGAGAGACACACAUUACCCUGGUAGUCACUUUAAAGACGACAGACACUACAUGCCUAAUACUGGGGAGUGGGGUGGAUCAGAUUGACUCUACUCCCUGGUAGUUCAUCUAUAGAAGCAACGAUAGAUGUGCAGUGUAAGGCUGGUCUUCAGGGAGACAUUACCCUGGUAGUUCAUCUAUAGAACUGUCCGAUACAUCUCAUGUGGAGUGUCAGGUCUGUCGGGUAGAUACAUUACCCUUGGAGUCAGUUUAAAGACUAGAUACACUAUGAUAAUGUGGAGUGUCAGGUCUGUCAAGGAGAGACAUUACCCCUGGAGUCAGUUUAAAGACUAGAUACACUAUGAUAAUGUGGAGUGGGGUGUCAGGUCUGUCAAGGAGAGACAUUACCCCUGGAGUCACUUUAAAGACUAGAUACACUAUGAUAAUGUGGAGUGUCAGGUCUGUGAAGGAGAGACAUUACCCCUGGAGUCACUUUAAAGACUAGAUACACUAUGAUAAUGUGGAGUGGGGUGUCAGGUCUGACAAGGAGAGACAUUACCCCUGGAGUCAGUUUAAAGACUAGAUACACUAUGAUAAUGUGGAGUGUCAGGUCUGUGAAGGAGAGACAUUACCCCUGGAGUCACUUUAAAGACUAGAUACACUAUGAUAAUGUGGAGUGGGGUGUCAGGUCUGACAGGGAGAGACAUUACCCCUGGAGUCACUUUAAAGACUAGAUACACUAUGAUAAUGUGGAGUGGGGUGUCAGGUCUGACAGGGAGAGACAUUACCCCUGGAGUCACUUUAAAGACUAGAUACACUAUGAUAAUGUGGAGUGGGGUUGACUACAGUAACUUAUAGAUGUAGAGGUGGUCUCCGAGACUCAGGGUUUAGUCUAGUGCUGGACUACAAACCAAGCUCAACAGAGAAUCUACAUUGAAAAUGAUUUUUUAGUCCAUGAUUAAGCUUCACCUGUGUCUGGGAAACAGUCCCCUGGUGUGUAGUGAGACGUCACUCAGGGCUUCCAGGGAGACACAUACUACUCUGUGGGUUCAGUCACUACGGUAGAUAGACUUCACCUAUUGGGGUGUGGAGUUGACUAUAUAGUCACUUUGUAGACUAGACAGUCUAUACAUCUACCAGGGAGAGAGAUGUCAGUCACUUUGUAGACUAGACAGUCUAUACAUCUACCAGGGAGAGAGAUGUCAGUCACUUUGUAGACUAGACAGUCUAUACAUCUACCAGGGAGAGAGAUGUCAGUCACUUUGUAGACUAGACAGUCUAUACAUCUACCAGGGAGAGAGAUGUCAGUCACUUUGUAGACUAGACAGUCUAUACAUCUACCAGGGAGCGAGAUGUCAGUCACUUUGUAGACUAGACAGUCUAUACAUCUACCAGGGAGAGAGAUGUCAGUCACUUUGUAGACUAGACAGUCUAUACAUCUACCAGGGAGAGAGAUGUCAGUCACUUUGUAGACUAAACAGUUUAUACAUCUACCAGGGAGCGAGAUGUCAGUCACUUUGUAGACUAGACAGUCUAUACAUCUACCAGGGAGAGAGAUGUCAGUCACUUUGUAGACUAGACAGCCUAUACAUCUACCAGGGAGAUAGAGAGAGAAUGUGGGUUCACAGUCAGACUGGAGAACCCAGUAGGGCUGAUCAGAGAGCCUAUAUCUAGUGAGAUGUCUGAUGUAUUUACCUGGCUGUGGGUACAGCCAGUCACCCUGUAGAGAUAAGACUGGAGAACCUACUAGGGAUGUAUAUCAGUGAGAUCUUCAGUGGUCUCUGUGUGAGUUCAUGCCAA